rnacentral:rRNA from 1 species
GCGACCCCAGUCAAGCGGGACUACCCGCUGAGUUUAAGCAUA